rnacentral:lncRNA from 1 species
UCCUUUUCUUUUUCUUUUUUAAGUGAUAGAAAGGACUGACUUUUUAGUCACUGUUUUUACAGUUCAAUAAUUCGGUAUCUCUUUUCCUAUCUACAUGUUACCAUUCAGAACUUAGGUGGAUGAAACAUAAUUUAUAUGUAGUUACAGAGAGAUACAGAACUAAAAGCCUACAGAUACAAGCAUUAGAAUUGUGACGGGGGUAAUUAGAAACAUGGACUCUGAAGGUAGCCUAUCUGGGUUCAAAUCUCAGCUCCAGUACUUAGCCAUGUGGCCUUAGGCAAGUUAUUUAAACUGACUUAUUUUCUUCCUCUGUAAGAUGAGAGUAACAAUAAUACCAACCUCAUAAGGUUGUUGGGAAAAUUACAUGUGUUCCUGCAUAUGAAGUGCUUAGGACAGUGCCUGAAAUACAGUCCUAUAUAAAUGUUAUAAUUUAUGAUUAUUGUUGUGAUGAUAAUGAUGAUAAUAUUACUAGCAGCUCCUCUGAAACUUGUUGGCCUCAUCCAAGGCCUAUCAUUUAGCUUUAUCCCCAGUGUCUCUAAUACUCCAUCUGUUGUGCAGAGUAUAUCCUGAACCUUCCUCCCUCUGAAUUUGCCCACUUGGCACCUCUUCAUUUGCUCUUAUAAUGUCUAGACCAUAAAUUUCAAAGACGUGGCCCAAAAUGUUGGACUCAAGGUUUUUGCAAACUACAAGCUAACAUGUUAAAAUUGAGUGGUUUCAUAUACAACUCCAGUUAUCCAAGUUUUCUUGGACAAUCUGGGUAUCUGGUCAUAGUGGGCCUACAUUUCUGCAUGGCAGUAGUUGUCUAGAACAGAGUAGCGGCUGCUUGUUUUGACAGAAACUGCUCUCCAUGUCAUCAGAGUCCCUGCCACUUCCUGUUGUUUUGACACUUUUAUCAUUCUAGUCAUCGAUAUCAUUUGUUUGGGUCAUGUAAUACUUAUUUGCUGCCAGCAGUUUAGAGUAAGCAGCGAUUCUCCACUAUGUGUUCUGCACACUCAUACUCCACUUGUCCUUUGCUGAUAGGUCGCCAGAUUUUGAUCCAUGUGUAAAACAUACAUUAGUUAAAAUCAAGUAUGCAUAAUAGUGUUUUGGCUUUGUCUGUCAGAAGGAACAUUGAGCUGGGCAGGUGUGCUUGUGUAUCAGAGCUAGAUACAACUUGGUGAAAAGGUUAGCCCAUAUUUAAGUUCAAACCAAAGAACAGUGAUUAAAGCCCAAGCCAAAGAAAAUUGAGAUAUGGGAGAGCU